rnacentral:rRNA from 1 species
ACUCCUACGGGAGGCAGCAGUGGGGAAUAUUGCACAAUGGGCGCAAGCCUGAUGCAGCCAUGCCGCGUGUGUGAAGAAGGCCUUCGGGUUGUAAAGCACUUUCAGUUGUGAGGAAGGUGGUGUCGUUAAUAGCGGCAUCAUUUGACGUUAGCAACAGAAGAAGCACCGGCUAACUCCGUGCCAGCAGCCGCGGUAAUACGGAGGGUGCGAGCGUUAAUCGGAAUUACUGGGCGUAAAGCGCAUGCAGGUGGUUUGUUAAGUCAGAUGUGAAAGCCCGGGGCUCAACCUCGGAACUGCAUUUGAAACUGGCAGACUAGAGUACUGUAGAGGGGGGUAGAAUUUCAGGUGUAGCGGUGAAAUGCGUAGAGAUCUGAAGGAAUACCGGUGGCGAAGGCGGCCCCCUGGACAGAUACUGACACUCAGAUGCGAAAGCGUGGGGAGCAAACAGGAUUAGAUACCCUGGUAGCAC